GGUUAAGCGACUAAGCGUACACGGUGGAUGCCCUGGCAGUCAGAGGCGAUGAAGGACGUGCUAAUCUGCGAUAAGCGUCGGUAAGGUGAUAUGAACCGUUAUAACCGGCGAUUUCCGAAUGGGGAAACCCAGUGUGUUUCGACACACUAUCAUUAACUGAAUCCAUAGGUUAAUGAGGCGAACCGGGGGAACUGAAACAUCUAAGUACCCCGAGGAAAAGAAAUCAACCGAGAUUCCCCCAGUAGCGGCGAGCGAACGGGGAGCAGCCCAGAGCCUGAAUCAGUGUGUGUGUUAGUGGAAGCGUCUGGAAAGGCGCGCGAUACAGGGUGACAGCCCCGUACACAAAAAUGCACAUGCUGUGAGCUCGAUGAGUAGGGCGGGACACGUGGUAUCCUGUCUGAAUAUGGGGGGACCAUCCUCCAAGGCUAAAUACUCCUGACUGACCGAUAGUGAACCAGUACCGUGAGGGAAAGGCGAAAAGAACCCCGGCGAGGGGAGUGAAAAAGAACCUGAAACCGUGUACGUACAAGCAGUGGGAGCACGCUUCGGCGUGUGACUGCGUACCUUUUGUAUAAUGGGUCAGCGACUUAUAUUCUGUAGCAAGGUUAACCGAAUAGGGGAGCCGAAGGGAAACCGAGUCUUAACUGGGCGUUAAGUUGCAGGGUAUAGACCCGAAACCCGGUGAUCUAGCCAUGGGCAGGUUGAAGGUUGGGUAACACUAACUGGAGGACCGAACCGACUAAUGUUGAAAAAUUAGCGGAUGACUUGUGGCUGGGGGUGAAAGGCCAAUCAAACCGGGAGAUAGCUGGUUCUCCCCGAAAGCUAUUUAGGUAGCGCCUCGUGAAUUCAUCUCCGGGGGUAGAGCACUGUUUCGGCAAGGGGGUCAUCCCGACUUACCAACCCGAUGCAAACUGCGAAUACCGGAGAAUGUUAUCACGGGAGACACACGGCGGGUGCUAACGUCCGUCGUGAAGAGGGAAACAACCCAGACCGCCAGCUAAGGUCCCAAAGUCAUGGUUAAGUGGGAAACGAUGUGGGAAGGCCCAGACAGCCAGGAUGUUGGCUUAGAAGCAGCCAUCAUUUAAAGAAAGCGUAAUAGCUCACUGGUCGAGUCGGCCUGCGCGGAAGAUGUAACGGGGCUAAACCAUGCACCGAAGCUGCGGCAGCGACGCUGAUGCGUUGUUGGGUAGGGGAGCGUUCUGUAAGCCUGCGAAGGUGUGCUGUGAGGCAUGCUGGAGGUAUCAGAAGUGCGAAUGCUGACAUAAGUAACGAUAAAGCGGGUGAAAAGCCCGCUCGCCGGAAGACCAAGGGUUCCUGUCCAACGUUAAUCGGGGCAGGGUGAGUCGACCCCUAAGGCGAGGCCGAAAGGCGUAGUCGAUGGGAAACAGGUUAAUAUUCCUGUACUUGGUGUUACUGCGAAGGGGGGACGGAGAAGGCUAUGUUGGCCGGGCGACGGUUGUCCCGGUUUAAGCGUGUAGGCUGGUUUUCCAGGCAAAUCCGGAAAAUCAAGGCUGAGGCGUGAUGACGAGGCACUACGGUGCUGAAGCAACAAAUGCCCUACUUCCAGGAAAAGCCUCUAAGCAUCAGGUAACAUCAAAUCGUACCCCAAACCGACACAGGUGGUCAGGUAGAGAAUACCAAGGCGCUUGAGAGAACUCGGGUGAAGGAACUAGGCAAAAUGGUGCCGUAACUUCGGGAGAAGGCACGCUGAUAUGUAGGUGAAGUCCCUUGCGGAUGGAGCUGAAAUCAGUCGAAGAUACCAGCUGGCUGCAACUGUUUAUUAAAAACACAGCACUGUGCAAACACGAAAGUGGACGUAUACGGUGUGACGCCUGCCCGGUGCCGGAAGGUUAAUUGAUGGGGUUAGCGCAAGCGAAGCUCUUGAUCGAAGCCCCGGUAAACGGCGGCCGUAACUAUAACGGUCCUAAGGUAGCGAAAUUCCUUGUCGGGUAAGUUCCGACCUGCACGAAUGGCGUAAUGAUGGCCAGGCUGUCUCCACCCGAGACUCAGUGAAAUUGAACUCGCUGUGAAGAUGCAGUGUACCCGCGGCAAGACGGAAAGACCCCGUGAACCUUUACUAUAGCUUGACACUGAACAUUGAGCCUUGAUGUGUAGGAUAGGUGGGAGGCUUAGAAGUGUGGACGCCAGUCUGCAUGGAGCCGACCUUGAAAUACCACCCUUUAAUGUUUGAUGUUCUAACGUUGACCCGUAAUCCGGGUUGCGGACAGUGUCUGGUGGGUAGUUUGACUGGGGCGGUCUCCUCCUAAAGAGUAACGGAGGAGCACGAAGGUUGGCUAAUCCUGGUCGGACAUCAGGAGGUUAGUGCAAUGGCAUAAGCCAGCUUGACUGCGAGCGUGACGGCGCGAGCAGGUGCGAAAGCAGGUCAUAGUGAUCCGGUGGUUCUGAAUGGAAGGGCCAUCGCUCAACGGAUAAAAGGUACUCCGGGGAUAACAGGCUGAUACCGCCCAAGAGUUCAUAUCGACGGCGGUGUUUGGCACCUCGAUGUCGGCUCAUCACAUCCUGGGGCUGAAGUAGGUCCCAAGGGUAUGGCUGUUCGCCAUUUAAAGUGGUACGCGAGCUGGGUUUAGAACGUCGUGAGACAGUUCGGUCCCUAUCUGCCGUGGGCGCUGGAGAACUGAGGGGGGCUGCUCCUAGUACGAGAGGACCGGAGUGGACGCAUCACUGGUGUUCGGGUUGUCAUGCCAAUGGCACUGCCCGGUAGCUAAAUGCGGAAGAGAUAAGUGCUGAAAGCAUCUAAGCACGAAACUUGCCCCGAGAUGAGUUCUCCCUGACUCCUUGAGAGUCCUGAAGGAACGUUGAAGACGACGACGUUGAUAGGCCGGGUGUGUAAGCGCAGCGAUGCGUUGAGCUAACCGGUACUAAUGAACCGUGAGGCUUAACCUU
rnacentral:rRNA from 1 species